rnacentral:rRNA from 1 species
CGUGCUUACACAUGCAAGUCGAACGGUGAACUUCAAGCUUGCUUGGGGGGAUCAGUGGCGAACGGGUGAGUAACACGUGAGUAACCUGCCCCAGACUCUGGGAUAAGCCUUGGAAACGAGGUCUAAUACCGGAUACGCAACUCCAUCGCAUGGUGAGGGUUGGGAAAGUUUUUCGGUCUGGGAUGGACUCGCGGCCUAUCAGCUUGUUGGUGAGGUAAUGGCUCACCAAGGCGACGACGGGUAGCCGGCCUGAGAGGGCGACCGGCCACACUGGAACUGAGACACGGUCCAGACUCCUACGGGAGGCAGCAGUGGGGAAUAUUGCACAAUGGGCGCAAGCCUGAUGCAGCGACGCCGCGUGGGGGAUGAAGGCCUUCGGGUUGUAAACCCCUUUCAGCAGGGAAGAAGCGAAAGUGACGUUACCUGCAGAAGAAGCGCCGGCUAACUACGUGCCAGCAGCCGCGGUAAUACGUAGGGCGCAAGCGUUGUCCGGAAUUAUUGGGCGUAAAGAGCUCGUAGGCGGUUCGUCGCGUCUGCUGUGAAAGCCCGAGGCUCAACCUCGGGUCUGCAGUGGGUACGGGCGGACUAGAGUGUGGUAGGGGAGACUGGAAUUCCUGGUGUAGCGGUGGAAUGCGCAGAUAUCAGGAGGAACACCAAUGGCGAAGGCAGGUCUCUGGGCCACAACUGACGCUGAGGAGCGAAAGCGUGGGGAGCGAACAGGAUUAGAUACCCUGGUAGUCCACGCCGUAAACGGUGGGCACUAGAUGUGGGGCUCUUUCCAUGAGUUCCGCGUCGCAGCUAACGCAUUAAGUGCCCCGCCUGGGGAGUACGGCCGCAAAGGCUAAAACUCAAAGGAAUUGACGGGGGCCCGCACAAGCGGCGGAGCAUGCGGAUUAAUUCGAUGCAACGCGAAGAACCUUACCAAGGCUUGACAUAUACCUUCUAUCCUCAGAGAUGGGGAGUGCUUUUAGCGGGGUAUACAGGUGGUGCAUGGUUGUCGUCAGCUCGUGUCGUGAGAUGUUGGGUUAAGUCCCGCAACGAGCGCAACCCUCGUCCUAUGUUGCCAGCACGUGAUGGUGGGGACUCAUAGGAGACUGCCGGGGUCAACUCGGAGGAAGGUGGGGAUGACGUCAAAUCAUCAUGCCCCUUAUGUCUUGGGCUUCACGCAUGCUACAAUGGCCGGUACAAAGGGCUGCGAUACCGUAAGGUGGAGCGAAUCCCAAAAAGCCGGUCUCAGUUCGGAUUGAGGUCUGCAACUCGACCUCAUGAAGUUGGAGUCGCUAGUAAUCGCAGAUCAGCAACGCUGCGGUGAAUACGUUCCCGGGCCUUGUACACACCGCCCGUCAAGUCACGAAAGUCGGUAACACCCGAAGCCGUCGGCCUAACCCCUUGUGGGAGGGAGACGUCUAAGGUGG